rnacentral:rRNA from 1 species
GACGAACGCUGGCGGCGUGCCUAAUACAUGCAAGUCGAGCGGAACCAUUGGAGCUUGCUCCUUUGGUUUAGCGGCGGACGGGUGAGUAACACGUGGGCAACCUGCCCUGCAGAUCGGGAUAACUCCGGGAAACCGGUGCUAAUACCGAAUAGUUUGCGGCCUCUCAUGAGGCUGCACGGAAAGACGGUUUCGGCUGUCACUGCAGGAUGGGCCCGCGGCGCAUUAGCUAGUUGGUGAGGUAACGGCUCACCAAGGCCACGAUGCGUAGCCGACCUGAGAGGGUGAUCGGCCACACUGGGACUGAGACACGGCCCAGACUCCUACGGGAGGCAGCAGUAGGGAAUCUUCCGCAAUGGACGAAAGUCUGACGGAGCAACGCAGCGUGAGUGAAGAAGGUUUGCGGAUCGUAAAACUCUGUUGUGAGGGAAGAACAAGUACCAAGUAACUACUGGUACCUUGACGGUACCUCACCAGAAAGCCACGGCUAACUACGUG